AUAUUUUUUCGGAUUAUUACAGUCCGUCUAAUUAUUUACUAUUAGUUACCAUUCCGCCCAGAGCCUACAACAUACUUAAAUCCACCCCUGAUUAUAAUUGGAUAUAUAUUUACUAUGAAAAUUGAAACACGUAAUUAUGUGGUCGAGUCCCUAAAAACAAAGAUGAAAAAUAUAAAUGAGAAAAUGCAUUAAAAACUGUUUUUAAAAAGUUAUAGCAUGUGCUUGAUAUUUUAAGGAGAGUGAUAUAAAGUCUUCUUGGGAAUCUGGUGAAGGCAAACAUAAAUACAGAGUAAGAUUAAUAUAUUAUUUUAGUGUACUUAUAUUAUUACCAUUUUUCAAUAAAUGGUAAAUUUCUAUUUAGAUAUGUCUAAAGUUCUUAAACUUU